rnacentral:lncRNA from 1 species
AAGCAGGCUAACAAAUAAACGAGCUCAUCUUUUGAGAGAUGAGCUAGAAAGCAACUAAGGUGUGGACAGCCGCUUUCACCAGGGUGGUCAGGGAGCGCUUCUUGGAGGAAGUGACAUCUGAGCAGAGGUUAGGAAUGAUGUGAAGGAGCUGACCCUGGGAGAAGGAGGGGUGGGAGAGGGAAGGCCUUGAGUACAAAGAGCCCUGGGGAGGGCAGAAACACCCAACCGCCCGCAUGGGUGGAGCCUGGGGAUGGAGAAUGUGCUGGAGGUCAAAGCAGGGCCUGCGGGAGCGGGAGGAGUCGGCCUGGGAAGCUGAGCUGCUGGGUCUCAGGGCCCCUGGGCAGGAACUGAUGGGCGCUGGUCUAGACAGAGGGGGCGAUGCUGAUGGAGACUGAGACUGCGGCCCCGCCUUCCAGGAGGAGAAAGAGACGAUCAACGCACUUCAGGCCACCCUGGGCCAGCUGCUGCGUACCCUUUAGACUGACCCCAUGAGAGGCACGAUCCCCAUUGUACAGAUGAGGAAACUGAGGCUCAGCAGGUGCAAUUGGAAAAUAGCUGCUAUCUCCAAAGGAACGGCCUUGGUUUCGUCUUCCAAAUGCCACCGCAUUUGGGGCGGCGCGGGGCUUAAUAGAAGAUUAUUUUUUACAGCUUCUGCUCUCCUGAGUCUUUGA